rnacentral:rRNA from 1 species
AUUGAACGCUGGCGGCAGGCCUAACACAUGCAAGUCGAACGAGUGGCGGACGGGUGAGCAAUGUCUGGGAAACUGCCUGAGGGAGGGGGAUAACUACUGGAAACGGUAGCUAAUACCGCAUACCUUCAGAUGUGUCCAGAUGGGAUUGGCUAGUUGGUGGGGUAACGGCUCACCAAGGCGACGAUCCCUAGCUGGUCUGAGAGGAUGACCCGCCACACGGGAACUGAGACACGGGCCAGGCUCCUGCGGGAGGCAGCAGUGGGGAAUCAUGCACAAUGGGCGCAAGCCUGAUGCAGCCAUGCCGCGUGUAUGAAGAAGGCCUUCGGGUUGUAAAGGACUGUCAGCGGGGAGGCGUUACCCGCAGAAGAAGCACCGGCUAAAUCCGUGCCAGCAGCCGCGGUAAUUC